AGGCAGCAGUGAGGAAUAUUGGACAAUGGGCGCAAGCCUGAUCCAGCCAUGCCGCGUGCAGGAUGACGGUCCUAUGGAUUGUAAACUGCUUUUAUACAGGAAGAAACACUCCCUCGUGAGGGAGCUUGACGGUACUGUAGGAAUAAGGAUCGGCUAACUCCGUGCCAGCAGCCGCGGUAAUACGGAGGAUCCAAGCGUUAUCCGGAAUCAUUGGGUUUAAAGGGUCCGUAGGCGGCUUAAUAAGUCAGUGGUGAAAGCCGUACGCUUAACGUAGGAACGGCCAUUGAUACUGUUAGGCUUGAAUUAUUAGGAAGUAACUAGAAUAUGUAGUGUAGCGGUGAAAUGCUUAGAGAUUACAUGGAAUACCAAUUGCGAAGGCAGGUUACUACUUAUGGAUUGACGCUGAUGCACGAAAGCGUGGGUAGCGAACAGGAUUAGAUACCCUGGUAGUCCACGCCGUAAACGAUGGAUACUAGCUGUUGGGAGCAAUCUCAGUGGCUAAGCGAAAUCGAUAAGUU
rnacentral:rRNA from 1 species